rnacentral:lncRNA from 1 species
GAAUGGUAAGUGGUCAGGAUGGUGUGGAAGAUGUCCACAUCCUAAUCCCCAGAACCUGUGACUGUCAUUUUAAAUGACAAAAGGGACCUUGCAGAUGUGACUAAAUUAAUGAUCUAGAGAUGAGGAGAUUAUUUUAGGUUAUCCAGGGGCCCAGUGUAAUCAUAGGGGUCCUCCACAACAGUGAGUAGGAGGAAGGCAACAUGACGGCAGACACAGAGAUCCAAGUGAUGUGGCUAUAAGCCGAGGAAUGCAGGCCACCUGGAAAAGCUGGAGGGCGGGGAGUGGACUCUCCCCCAGAGCCUCCAGAGGAACUGACCCCGCCGACAGCUUAAGUUUAGUGCACAAAAUUCGUUUCAGAUUUCUGAUCACCACACCUGUAAGAACGAUCCUAAAUUUGUGUUGUGUUAAGCCAUAAAGUUUGUGGUUAAGAGUUGUCCCUCACUAUCUGUGGGGGAUUGUUUCCAGGACCCCCUAAGUAUGCCCAAAUCCAUAUACUCAAGUCCUGAAGUAAUGGCAGGUACAUGUGGAAUCCACUGUAUACACAGGCCUCGCAUCCUGCAAACACUGUAUUUGUGAUCUGCAGUUGAAAAAAAUCUGUGUCUAAGUGGACCCAUGCACUUCAAACCCUUGUUGUUUAAGGGUCGAUGGCAUUUGUUACAUCAACAAUAGGAAGCCAAUACAGAUGGUUAAGACUUUGUGACCAGGUGGUUAUCAAAGAAGGAAAGGGAGGGGUCCCAGAAAGGGUUGAGGAAGAGUGAAUAGAAGCCACAUAGACUCUUCCGAGGAGUACCCAUGUGUCACUUCUGGGACAGGCAGCCUCACUCCUGCCAGGGCCGUGCAGGGCAGUCCACAGGCCAAAGGUCCAAGUAGAUUCAGCGCUGCUGAGUUGCUUCUGGGAACCCACCAGUCUCCAAGCAACUUGACUUCAUUAUGCAGAUCCAGCAAGACACAGAGACAUUUUUGAAUCCACAAAUAACUUCUAUCUAGGACCAGUGAUGACCCAGCUUCAAGCAUGCAGCAGAUGAGGACAAUGCUCCAGAGGAUGGAGAAGCAACAUGAUACGAGGAAUCUGUGUCCCUGAAUGACCAUUUGGUGCACAGCUGCCCCAAUGACCUGGAUCACUCACUUCAGACAGGUUAAUUCCCUUCAGAGCUGUUACGUGAGAAAGAAUAAACUUCUUUGUUCUUUAA